AGAAUAUCUCAGAUCAAAAUCGUUUUAAUGAGCUAUUGUCCAACGCCAUGGAGGAUGCGGCCACUGAGGCUGCGAAUGCUACAUCAGGAGCUAAAAAGUUUGCUGUAAAAGAAUCCAAUUUUACUGCGUUUCAGAAACUGUACAACCUCGCGCAGUGCACACCGGAUAUAUCCAACUCUGAUUGUGAUCGGUGUCUUCAGGUAGCUAUCUCAAAUUUGCCGUCUUGUUGUGGUGGAAAGGAAGGAGGAAGAGUC
rnacentral:misc_RNA from 1 species